AGACAGACAGCAGGAAGUGUUAGAGAUUCUUUAUUUCAGCAUGUUAAACAUCACGGGAAGGACUGCAGACCUGAUUUAUUCACUCAAGUUGCCUCACAAUCGAAUAUAGAAUUAUUUGCAUAAAGAAAACUCCAUGAAAUGAUCAGAAUCGCUUGUGUUGGAUCCCGGCUGACAGACGGUCAGCUCGUGUUUGUGUGACCACCAAUCUGCAUUACUUCCCAUUUUCUCAAAAGAAUCCAAAAAACAUGAACAUGACACUGAAAACAUUCCGUUAAACUCUUAAUAAACCACAGAGAGAAAGAGAAA